ensembl:lncRNA
CCCGUGUCACGUCCUUGUGUCACCUCAUCCCCGUGUCACGUCCCGGUGCCAUCUUGUCCCCGUGUCACGUCCUCGUGUCGCAUCCUGGUGCCAUCCAUCCCCGUGUCACGUCCUGGUGCCAUCACAUCCCUGUGUCACGUCCUCGUGUCGUGUCUUGGUGCCAUCUUGUCCCCGUGUCACAUCCCCGUGUCACAUCCCCGUGUCACAUCCCAGUGCCAUCUUGUCCUUGUGUCACGUCCUCGUGUCACAUCCCGGUGCCAUCUCAUCCCUGUGUCACGUCCUCGUGUCACAUCCCAGUGCCAUCUUGUCCUUGUGUCACGUCCUCGUGUCACAUCCCGGUGCCAUCUCAUCCCUGUGUCACGUCCUCGUGUCACAUCCCGGUGCCAUCUUGUCCCCGUGUCACAUCCUGGUGCCAUCUUGUCCCCGUGUCACAUCCUGGUGCCAUCUCCAUGUCCCCGUGUCACAUCCUGGUGUCACCUCAUCCCCGUGUCACAUCCUGGUGCCACCUCCGUGCCAUCCGUGCCACCUCCGUGCCGUGUCCCUUGUCCCCGUGCCACGUCUCUUGUGCCGUGUCACCGUGUCACCUCCCCGUGCCACCUCCUCGUCCCCGCAGUGUCCCCAAGCGUCGUCCUCUGUCCCGUCACCUCCGUGUGCCACGUCCCCCGUGCCCACGUCCCCGUGUCACAUCCCCAAGCCGUGACCCCGUGUCACUUCCCCCUGCCACGUCCACGUGCCGCGUCCUCGUGUCACGUCCUGGUGCCACGUCCCCGUGUCACGUCCCCACGUGUCACGUCCCCGUGUCAUGUCCUGGUGCCAUGUCCCCACGUGUCACAUCCCGGUGCCACGUCCCUGUGUCACGUCCUCGUGUCAUGUCCUGGUGCCACGUCCCCACGUGUCACGUCCUGGUGCCACGUCCCCGUGGAAGGGGGGGGUGGGGACACGAGGGAGGGGACACACGGGGACACACCAGGAGACACUGGGACAGCCCGGGAUCCAGGAGGACACGAGGGGACGGGUUCCACCAGGACGUGUUGGGACACACUGGGAUGUACUGGGAGGCACUGGGGACACACAGGGAUGGCCUGGGACACGUUGUGACACGCUUGGGACACGCCAAGGGGCACGGUGACACGUGGGGACACAGCGGGAUGCCCCGGGACACGCCGUGACACACCAAGGUGACAAAGCCGUGACACGUGGGGACGCAGCGGGACACGAGUGUCCACGUGGCUGCCGGGGCACGUGGUGGCCGUGGUGUCACGGGCGGGUGUCACGGCCACCACGGGUGUCACGGGUGGGUGUCACGGCCACCAGAGUGUCACUGAGAGGGGUCACGGCCACCACAGGGGGGUGCCACGGCCACCAGGGUGUCACAGUUGGGUGCCAUGGCCACCACAGUAUCACUAAUAGGUGCCACGGCCACCACGGGUGUCACAGGUGGGUGUCACGGCCACCACAAUGUCACAGAUAGGAGUCAUGGCCACCACGGGGAGGUGCCAAGGCCACCACAGUGUCACUGAGAAGGGUCAUGGCCACCACAGGGGGUGCCACGGCCACCAGAGUGUCACUUGUAGGUGCCACGGCCACCACAGAGGGGGUGCCACGGCCCUCAGGGUGUCACAGUUGGGUGUCACGGCCACCAGAGUGUCACUGAGAGGGGUCACGGCCACCACGAGUGGGUGCCACGGCCACCAGAGUGUCACUUGUAGGUGCCACGGCCUCCACAGAGGGGGUGUCACGGCCACCGGGGUGUCACGGCCACCAGAGUGUCACAGUUGGGUGUCACAGCCACCACGGGGAGGUGUCACGGCCCCCAGGGUGUCACAGUCGGGUGUCACGGCCACCACAGCGUCACUUGUAGGUGCCAUGGCCCCCAUGGGUGUCACUUGUAGGUGCCACGGCCACCACAGAGGGGGUGUCACGGCCACCAGAGCGUCACUUGUAGGUGCCACGGCCACCAGAGUGUCACAGUUGGGUGUCACAGCCACCCCAGUGUCACUUGUAGGUGCCACGGCCACCACGGGGAGGUGUCACGGCCACCAGGGUGUCACAGUCAGGUGUCACGGCCACCAUGGGUGUCACUUGUAGGUGCCACGGCCACCAUGGGGAGGUGUCACGGCCACCAGGGUGUCACAGUUGGGUGUCACGGCCACCAGAGCAUCACUUGUA